rnacentral:rRNA from 1 species
CAACUUUCAACAACGGAUCUCUUGGCUCUCGCAUCGAUGAAGAACGCAGCGAAAUGCGAUACGUAAUGUGAAUUGCAGAAUUCAGUGAAUCAUCCAAUCUUUGAACGCACCUUGCGCCCCUUGGUAUUCCGAGGGGGCACACCCGUUUGAGN